CAGUAGCCACGGUAAUACAGAGGGUGCGAGCGUUAAUCGGAUUUACUGGGCGUAAAGCGUGCGUAGGCGGCUUCUUAAGUCGGAUGUGAAAUCCCUGAGCUUAACUUAGGAAUUGCAUUAGAUACUGGGAAGCUAGAGUAUGGGAGAGGAUGGUAGAAUUCCAGGUGUAGCGGUGAAAUGCGUAGAGAUCUGGAGGAAUACCGAUGGCGAAGGCAGCCAUCUGGCCUAAUACUGACGCUGAGGUACGAAAGCAUGGGGAGCAAACAGGAUUAGAGACCCCGGUAGUCCCUGUCUCUUAUAC
rnacentral:rRNA from 1 species